UGGGGAAUUUUGGACAAUGGGGGAAACCCUGAUCCAGCCAUCCCGCGUGUGCGAUGAAGGCCUUCGGGUUGUAAAGCACUUUUGGCAGGAAAGAAACGUCAUGGGUUAAUACCCCGUGAAACUGACGGUACCUGCAGAAUAAGCACCGGCUAACCACGUGCCAGCAGCCGCGGUAAUACGUAGGGUGCAAGCGUUAAUCGGAAUUACUGGGCGUAAAGCGUGCGCAGGCGGUUCGGAAAGAAAGAUGUGAAAUCCCAGAGCUCAACUUUGGAACUGCAUUUUUAACUACCGGGCUAGAGUGUGUCAGAGGGAGGUGGAAUUCCGCGUGUAGCAGUGAAAUGCGUAGAUAUGCGGAGGAACACCGAUGGCGAAGGCAGCCUCCUGGGAUAACACUGACGCUCAUGCACGAAAGCGUGGGGAGCAAACAGG
rnacentral:rRNA from 1 species